rnacentral:rRNA from 1 species
UACGGGGGGAGCAAGCGUUGUUCGGAUUUACUGGGCGUAAAGGGCGCGUAGGCGGCCAGCACAGGUCAGUUGUGAAAUCUCCGAGCUUAACUCGGAACGGUCAACUGAUACUGUGCGGCUAGAGUGCGGAAGGGGCAACUGGAAUUCUUGGUGUAGCGGCGAAAUGCGUAGAUAUCAAGAGGAACACCUGCGGCGAAGGCGGGUUGCUGGGCCGACACUGACGCUGAGGCGCGAAAGCCAGGGGAGCGAACGGG